rnacentral:rRNA from 1 species
UACGUAGGUGGCAAGCGUUAUCCGGGAUUAUUGGGCGUAAAGCGCGCGCAGGUGGUUUCUUAAGUCUGAUGUGAAAGCCCACGGCUCAACCGUGGAGGGUCAUUGGAAACUGGGAGACUUGAGUGCAGAAGAGGAAAGUGGAAUUCCAUGUGUAGCGGUGAAAUGCGUAGAGAUAUGGAGGAACACCAGUGGCGAAGGCGCCUUUCUGGUCUGUAACUGACACUGAGGCGCGAAAGCGUGGGGAGCAAACAGG